AACGAACGCUGGCGGUAUGCUUAACACAUGCAAGUCGCACGUGAAGGGGGCUUCGGCCCCUGGAAAGUGGCGCACGGGUGAGUAACACGUGGAUAAUCUGCCCGGUGGUUUGGGAUAACAUCUCGAAAGGGGUGCUAAUACCAGAUAAGCCCACGACAUCUUCGGAUGACGAGGGAAAAGGGGGCUUUUAGCUCCUGUCACCGGAUGAGUCCGCGGCCCAUUAGCUAGUUGGUGGGGUAAUGGCCCACCAAGGCGACGAUGGGUAGCUGGUCUGAGAGGAUGAUGAGCCAAACUGGAACUGAGACACGGUCCAGACUCCUACGGGAGGCAGCAGUGGGGAAGUUUGCGCAAUGGGCGAAAGCCUGACGCAGCAAUACCGCGUGAGUGAUGAAGGCCUUCGGGUCGUAAAGCUCUGUCAGAGGGGAAGAACCUCUCGUCGGUUAAUACCCGGCGGGCCUGACGGUACCCUCAAAGGAAGCACCGGCUAACUCCGUGCCAGCCGCCGCGGUAAAAC
rnacentral:rRNA from 1 species